CUGAGGACUGAAGACUCGGGCCAGUAUGAGUGUAAAGUGCACACAAGUAAUGAGAGGAGCUCUGGUAAAUGUUGGCUCCAUGUUACUGCAGCGAGGGAUCGGCCUGAACCUGAGACACCAAACACAACAAGUCCACCACAACCAGAGAGUCGGGAUAUGUUCCUAUUCUGCAAUUUAAUAAUCAUACUUGUAGUGUUUGUACUCUGUCUGUAUCUCCCGUGGUUGAUUUUGUUUCCAGCUGUUACAUAAGACAAAAACAAAAAUGUCAGCAGGUGAAUCAGUGGAUACAGUUAACAUCUGUAAUGAGACAAAACUGUUAGAGAUCAUGUUUAUAGCAAAGAAACGCCCCCACACUGUUAAAUUAUAUUUGCAAUCUUUCUUGGGUUAUGAGUUCGUUAACACGAGUCAGCAACUUAUGAAUUUAAUGUGAACAUUGGCUUUAUUGUAGCCUAUUGUAUUUAUCAUUUGAGCAUCUAGUUAAUAUUUUGCAUAAACCCAUGCACUUUAUUGCAGCUGCUACAAUUUUUCUGUACAGAGUUCAUGUUUAUACCACGGAGCCACAGAAAAUACUAAUUUCUCAUUGGCUGGCAGGUAAUACAACUGUUUAUCAGGACAUAUCAAAACAUACCAGCAGGCAACCACAGCAACAACUUUGAUGCUUCCCACACAUGACAUCAGCAAAAUGAUCACAAACUGUAAGAGUUGAUAAAAACACAUCUUUCCUUUC